UGCACAGCCCAUCGCCCCCGUGCAAAGCAGGUGUGAAACACCACAGGGGCAUCUCACACCCACUUGGCACUGGGGCCAAUGCCUGGGCAAGGUGGUGGAGCCUUGAGUGCAGCAUCCAAUUUACCAUAGCCCUGGCUCCAAGGGCACGCUGGGUCGUAACUCGCACCCAACACCCGGUGCCCAUGGCGGCCGGUCCUGGCACAGGUCGCUGCCCGUUCUGUCCUGCCAGGCACUGCCUGGGCUGCCUGCGAACCUGGCCCAGCCAGCAGCCACUGGGGGGCAGCAGGGCACCAGUGGCUCUGCUCCCCGCCUGAUGUCCCAGAGACAAGGCACUGGCGCCCAAGCCAGAGCGGGCAAAGUUCAAGGCUGACAUGGGGUGGCUCCAGCCGCUGCCACCCAUGGGCCCCCACAGUCAGGAGCUCCCUCUCCGCUCCCAUGUGCCACACAAAGGGACCUGAAUCAACUGGCUGGGGAGGGCAGGCCAGCAGCAUUGCUCCUCGGGUCCCAGCUCCGUACAGCCCAGGCAGCUGUUUAUCCGCACGGGUGCAGAGCACAUGACACCCCAGCCCUUAAAGAGGUAAAGCGGCUUUGGGGUCCAGUUGGGGGGUGCCCCCUGCCCACCUCCCACAAAAUGGGCAGCGCCAGCCACCGCUCUGCACCCCAGUGGGGGAGGCCAGGCACUGGGUUCCCCCAAGUCCCUUGGAGCCACAUUCCCAGCAGUUCCCUGGGGGCUGGACGCAUAGGGCUCUGGGGGGUGCUCCGGAAAUGGGGCCCAAGCUCAGCAGCCCAACAAAGGAGGCCCUGAAUCAGCAGCUGCCAGCCGGACAGGGCAGCCCCCACCCCAAGCCCCUGCUGCUCCCUCUCUCUUCUCCUCCCUCCUUCGCAGGGUCUGGGCUCCAGGACCGAGCUUGGAUGGGGGGCGGGUUUCUCCCAGGCCCUGGCCACAAAUGCAGCAGCCCCCACCUGACUGCAGGAUCCUCAAAGCAGGCGCCGGAGCGUGGCCGUGCACAGGCUCCACAGAGGGGACUUCCCCCUUCCCCACCCUGGGGGCUCCUGUGCUGGCUUCAGCCCUGGGGCACACGCAUCCCGUCGUAGCCCGGCACUGUCUCCUCAUGCACGGGAGCUACCUAGGCGGGCGUCUGAUGGCUCCUUUUCCUGCCCUAGGUUCGUGGACAGCAUGGGCCUCAGCAACCCCCAUUUCAGCCUGUUCUGAGCGCCCAGUGGGUCCCACCGCCGGGCACGUCUGGCCUUCCACGGACAUGGAGCAGCCCCAGCCUGAACCCCAGCCACAGACGGGGGUACGAACGGAGCCCAUGGCAUACUGCGCAGGAUCCCAGGGGACAGGACACGGCCAGGACACAGCGGCUGUUAUAGAAAGUGAGUUUUAUAUAUAAUUUAUAUGUACACACAAGAAAAAAGUACCUUUAAUCUGCAUUGCCAAAUAAGUGCCACGUCCCCCCUCGCCCGACACAACGACAGCGCCGCCCUCAUCGGGGCCUUCAGUCCAAAGCUGCUGUGCCCCCCCACCCCACCCCCAGCAGGGGAGCCCAGGGAGGAGCAGAGACCCCAUGGCUAUGGGCCCAGACCAAGCUCGCCUGGCUCCGACGUCGGCUGAAAACUCCCCAGACACAGUCACAGAAAUAAAAACACCCCAAAACUGCUAAAAAAACCCA
ensembl:lncRNA